rnacentral:misc_RNA from 1 species
AGCUAUAAAAUGGUACAUAAAAAUGUAAUUUUUGAAAAUCUAUAUUUUUUACUUUUUUCCACCACCUGGCCUGGUACAUUGGUCAGAAGACUCAGAAAACAGCUUAAGUCACGCGGUUUAAAUAGGCAUGAUUAAAACGAAAAAUUAUUUUUCAUUGGCUAAAUAACUAAGUUAGACUUAAAUGCGUUUUCAAGAUUCACUUCCUUACAACAACUGAAAGCAAAGCGAUUUUUUUUUAUGGAAGUUAAAAAGCUCUUUUCGCAACAAUCUACCUUUUUAAAUGCCAACAAGUCAAAUGGACUCCGAUAUUCUAGAAGUUAUUGAAGGCCACAUUGACACAGUUAAAAAGUAUGCUGGUCUCUCGUUAUGAAAGUCCUGCUGCGAGAACUUUUUUUUUUUAGAGUUAAGACAUAAUUACUGGAAUGUACGCUAUUGUGGUUUUUGACAAUGAGAUGGAAACUGAGUAUAUUCCCUUCAAUUGGAUAAUUAAUAAAAUUCAAUUUCAAGAAGUUUCAGCUUUGGUUAGACAGCGUGUAGAAUUAAAAUGCUACUGGCCUCCAUGGUCAAAUUUUAGCAAAGUCAGUAGGGCACAAAAGCUAUGCUCUGAACCUGAUACAGAUUGGAACUCUUUUCGAUUGUUAGCAGUUGCAGGUAAUGAGAAAGAAGCCUGGGAAAAGGUUAAAGUAGCAGAGGAGACAUCUAAUGUUGAAGAGAUAUUUAUCAAGCAAAAAAGCAUGGUGCUAGAAAAAAAACUGUCUAACAACAAAGAUGAUGGAAUUGAGAGUACUGAUUCGGAAAGUAAAUACAGCAACAGUAGGGGAUGAUCAUUUUGAGAAUAGAAAUAGUGCAUUGUUUACUGUGUUAUGCACAAAAUCAUCAGGUAAAGUUUAUAUUGUUGAUACAUGUUGAUACAAUUUUCAUAUCAUUCUUUACUACUUUUUUUUUUUUUUUAAAGAAAAGGAAGUUCAACACAAAAUAAAACAUGUUUUGAUUUCGAGUCAGAAAUUGUUGUUAGGUCAAAAGAUUUGACUGGUCUUUCUUGUAACACGACUCCGAUGUUGAAAACUUAAGAAAAAUUGUUGUUGAAAAUUUUGGCUGCACAAGAAGAAAUAAAAGAGAAAAAAAAAAAAAAAAAGAAAAGAAAUAAAAGAGACCCAAAAGUUACAUUCAGCUAUGUUGCACAACAUUCAGCAAAAAAUUGAUGCAACAAGGUAUUUUGGAGGAACAAUUUGAAUUAAACUUACCUCUUAAAACAAUUGAAGACCUGGAAGCUUUUGAAGAUAAGUUGAACGAUGAAGAUUUAAAAAAAUAUUUGGUUCAGGUCCUUGUAAAUAAUGGUAAUACGAAUGUAACAAAUUUUGUAAGAAGGAACAUGAAGUAUUUAUUUUCUAAUGAACUGGCAUGAAAAUAUAACCUAAAUGGCCAGAAAAAUAUAAAACCAUUUCAGCCAUUGCAGCUAUUUCAAAUAAUGUUUUGUGCCGCAAAAAAAAAAAAAAUUCAACAACAAAAUUUAUCAAAAAAACUUCUUGGAGCACUUUCUGCUUGGUUUGGCAAUGCUCGAGAUAGAGGCAAAGAUGGACGAAAAGAACGAAUUUAGAAAGCAGCAUCUAACACAGAGAAGAACAUAUAGAAUGCAAAACUAUAUACUUUGCAGCAAACAUGUAAGGUAAAGUAAUCUGCAUAGAACACUUGUGUAUAUAUUUAUUACGUAUGUAAUAAUAGUUUAUUUUGUUAAUAAAACGUACAUGUAUA